AUUGAACGCUGGCGGCAGGCCUAACACAUGCAAGUCGAGCGAGCGGCGGACGGGUGAGUAAAGUAUGGGAAACUGACCGAUAGAGGGGGAUAACUACUGGAAACGGUAGCUAAUACCGCAUACUAUCAGAUGUGCCCAGAUGGGAGUAGCUAGUAGGUGGGGUAACGGCUCACCUAGGCGACGAUCCCUAGCUGGUCUGAGAGGAUGACCAGCCACACUGGGACUGAGCCCCGGCCCAGACUCCUACGGGAGGCAGCAGUGGGGAAUAUUGCACAAUGGGCGCAAGCCUGAUACAGCCAUGCCGCGUGUAUGAAGAAGGCCUUCGGGUUGUAAAGUACUUUCAGCGAGGAGGCGUUACCCGCAGAAGAAGCACCGGCUAACUCCGUGCCAGCCGCCGCGGUAAUAC
rnacentral:rRNA from 1 species